rnacentral:rRNA from 1 species
UUGCUAUUUCUAGAGAUAGAAAGUUACUUUCGGUACAUCGGUGACAGGUGGUGCAUGGUUGUCGUCAGCUCGUGUCGUGAGAUGUUGGGUUUAAGUCCCGCAACGAGCGCAACCCCUAUUGUUAGUUGCCAUCAUUCAGUUGGGCACUCUAGCGAGACUGCCGGUAAUAAACCGGAGGAAGGUGGGGAUGACGUCAAAUCAUCAUGCCCCUUAUGACCUGGGCUACACACGUGCUACAAUGGUUGGUACAACGAGUUGCGAGUCGGUGACGGCGAGCUAAUCUCUUAAAGCCAAUCUCAGUUCGGAUUGUAGGCUGCAACUCGCCUACAUGAAGUCGGAAUCGCUAGUAAUCGCGGAUCAGCACGCCGCGGUGAAUACGUUCCCGGGCCUU